AUUGAACGCUAGCGGCAGGCCUAACACAUGCAAGUAGAACGAGUGGCGGACGGGUGAGUAAUGUCUGGGAAACUGCCCGAUGGAGGGGGAUCACUACUGGAAACGGUAGCUAAUACCGCAUACCAUCGGAUGUGCCCAGAUGGGAUUAGGUAGUAGGUAGGGUAAAGGCUCACCUAGGCGACGCUCCCUAGCUGGUCUGAGAGGAUGACCAGCCACACUGGCACUGAGACACGGCCUAGAGUCCUACGGGAGUCAGCAGUGGGGAAUAUUGCACAUUGGGCACAAUCCUGAUGCAGCCAUGCCGCGUGUAUGAAGAAGGCCUGCGGGUUUUAAAGUACUUUCAGCGGGGAGGCGUUACCCGCAGAAUAAACACCGGCUAACUCCGUGCCAGCAGCCGCGGUAAUUC
rnacentral:rRNA from 1 species